rnacentral:rRNA from 1 species
ACGCACGUGUGAAACUUGAAGGAAUUGACGGAAGGCACCACAGGAACGCGUGGAGCAUGUGGCUUAAUUUGACCCAACGCGGGAAAUCUUACCGGGUCCGGACACACUGAGGUUGACAGGCAAAAGAUACAAAGUAGUUUCUUUUUUCGGAAAGGGGUUCUUUGCAUUGUAAAAUAUGCGAGUCCUUUCAUGAUUAUGUGAUAGGUGGUGCAUGGCCGUUCUUAGUUCGGGGGGUGAUCUGUCUGCUUAAUUGCCUUUCACAACGAUUUAAAACACUAUGUUUUGCGUUUGCUGUUCGGUUGUUUCUUGUAAAUGACUUUGAACGCACGCAGCGUAGUUGAAAAAACAAUCGGAAAGCAACGAACGUGACCG